UUCGCAAUGCCCGAAAGGGUGACGAAGCGACGCCGCGUGUGGGAAGAAGGCCUUCGGGUUCGUAAACCACUGUCGGGAGUUAAGAAAUGCAAGAAUGUUAAUAGCGUUUUUGCUUGACUAAGGCUCCGGAGGAAGCCACGGCUAACUCUGUGCCAGCAGCCGCGGUAAUACAGAGGCGGCAAGCGUUGUUCGGAAUUAUUGGGCGUAAAGAGCACGUAGGCGGCUCUGCAAGUCAGCUGUGAAAGCCUUCUGCUUAACGGAAGAACGGCAGUUGAAACUACAGGGCUUGAGUGCGGGAGGGGAGAGUGGAACUUCUGGUGGAGCGGUGAAAUGCGUAGAUAUCAGAAGGAACGCCGGCGGCGAAAGCGGCUCUCUGGUCCGUAACUGACGCUGAGUGUGCGAAAGCUAGGGGAGCAAACGGGAUUAGAUACCCCGGUAGUCCUAGCCGUAAACGAUGGGCACUAAGUAGAGGGGUU
rnacentral:rRNA from 1 species